AUUAUUAAGUCAAAUUUAUUUUAGAUUUACUUAUUUAUUUGAUAAAUAUCAAUUAUUUAAGUAUUUUUAAUUUUGAUAUUCUCUUAUUAAAUAAUUUUGAAAAGCUCUUUUCAAUUUUUUUUUGGUUGUUAUCUCUUAAGCCCCCACAACCCCUAUAAAUACACCUAUUUUCUGCCCUUAUUUCAUAAAUCGUCAUUCCCUCUCUCAAUCUUUUUCUUGUGUUGCCCCCACCCCAUCCAUUGUUCUCCCAACUUUUAAUCUCCCCCAAUCAUCCCAAUCCACAACAACGAAGUGAGCAUCAACAGUGCACAGAAGGCGUGCACAUAACCACCAUGUCUUAUAAGCGGAAAAACAUCGUUGUACAAGUCGAUAGAUUCUUACCUUGGUUUUAUAAUCAAACCACAAGGGAGCGAUAUGAAUCAAUUUUCAAGAAGAAACCAAUGCUCCUAGAUAAGGGUUUCAUGCUCGCGCAAGAUGAGAAGGAUAAUGUGUCGAAAUAUGUUCGUGAAAAUAUUGAAAAGUUGAAAUGGAAUUCAUUUUGUGAUAUUCCACCUAUUUCGGAUGAAGAUGUUGUUCGAGAAUUCUACUCCAACUUGACGUUAACAGAUGCUCUGUUAGUCCAUGUGCAGAGGAAAGGAGUUACUUUUAACUAUUCAGUGACAAUAAAUUGUUUUAUCUGCCUGAUGUGGAUGAUGAUGACUACUCGAAUUUGUGCAAGGAUAUUGAUGGUGAAAUGCUUUGAGAUGUGCUUAGGGAAUUGACCAUUCAUGGCACUGAAUGGAACAUUUCAAAGCAAGGUAAUUAUACAUUCCAUCGUGAAUUUCUUAACUGGAAAGCGAAGGUAUGGUUUUACUUCAUCUGAUCAACUCUCAUACCUAUCACAAAUUAUUGCACUAUAUCUAUGGAACGCAUGAUCUUGUUUUAUUGCAUUAUGACUGAGAAAUUAAUUAACGUGGGGAAAAUAAUCUUCAAAGAAAUUCAAUAAUGUGCCAACAAGAGAUCUGGUAGUGCAUAUUUUCCAUUACUCAGUACUUCUUUAUGUCGUCAAGCACAGGUACAAAUGAAAAAAGUCUUUGUAGAUUUUUACAGUAAACGAAUUAUUUUUGUUAGCGACAUUGCAAAGGGUAAUUAGUGAUCAUACAGGAAAGAAGCCAAUAAUAGAUUACUCAUCCAAGUUAGUAGAAAAUACAGUGGUGCAAUCUUUGGAAGAAAUUUCACCAACAGCCAAACCUUCAUAAAUUUCAGUUGAGUUAAAUGAAGAGUCUAUGCACGUUCCUUUCUAUUAUACAGUUUGAACAGAACAAUCAGUCAUGUGAGAUACGAUUUGAGAUGAUGGAAAUAGGAGCAAUGCAUAGAAAAUAGUUUUAACGAAUUACCUACAUUUUUAGAAUUUGUUCUUCAACCGUGGAGGCCGAAAACCAAGAAAGAGGACUGUGGCUCGUCAACAAAGAAAAGAUAGGAAGAUCAGAACAUGUAGAGAUAUGAUGAUGAUAACGUGGAAGUGGAGACAAAUUUAGAUAAUUCUGAGUCAGAUUAAUGGAGUUUUUGUUGUCUAGGAUAAAAAAUUAUCGCCUUUGGUUAUUUUAUUUAGGAUUUUUAUUUAUGAUUCAUAAUAAGUUGGAUUCUUGAACUUACCCCUAAUACUGGUAUCUUUAUUUUGAUCCCUCUUUUGAGCAAUUUUUAAGCAAACAAAUGUGGUAAUGAGAGUGUGCAUGUUUAAGAAUGACAUAUGUCUAGGAACAACUAGGUAAUUAAGCAAGUCUAAAUGACUCACCUCGUUUUUCUGGGAUCUUAGCUGGUGCAUAGUUCACAUUCAUUUCUCUUCCGCAAUAAAGACAUUGCUAAUUUUAAGUUUGGGGGCCAGGACAUGUGUCUAAGUCUGAGUCGUCUGAAAAAGUCUGAAAUUUUUUUUCGAUCAAAAUCCACAUGAGCUAUGUGUAAGUGGAAAAAGGCUCAGAGUCAGUAAGUCCCACAUUAUAGGUUAGUUUGAGUUCAGGUAUAAUUCUUUGUUUUUCUUUAAAUAUUUCUGAUGUUAGUUCAUAUUUUGAGCCGAAUGUUAAUUUUUAGUAAAUAUGAAUAAAAUUUCUUCCAAUUAAUUUCUUUUUAGAAAAUCUAAAGUAUGCAUGAAAGUUUAUGUUUUCUGAAUUGAAUUUAGUAAAUCUUUGAGGCAAAAUCCUAGUAGCAUAAUAAUAUUAAAAAUGGUUUAGGCAAUUUGUUUGGUCCAUUUGAGCCUUUCAAGUCAUCUUACUAAGAAGUUUAUCCAUUGAACCCAAUUUGGAGCUGUAUAGUCCAAGUUUUUUAAUACCCUUGAAAUGAAAGUCGUGCCCUUUCAAUUAUUACUCUUUAUUUUUCAACUAUUUUGCCCUUAGCUAUUCGCGAUAUGCUUUAUGUUAACUUUGGGGGAAUUAGAAGGAGAAAAGUGAAGUUCUUAUUUCAAGAUUCUCAGUAUUAUGUGCAGAAAAAAAUGAUGAGCACUCUUCAGUUGAGACAAAUGAGAGUUGGGUUCCUUAGUGAUGAAUAUAUUUCAAAAGGUUCAAAGUUAAGCGGAGUCCAAGUAUGUAUAGCCCCAAAAUAUCCGUCUUUUCCUACCUUGAACCUAGCCACGUUACCACCAUGUAAAGACCUACUAAUUUAUAUUACUGUGUUAACUACAUUAGUGGAGAGGGUUUAUUAAUUUCAACAUAUGAAAACUCAUUCAAGAAACUUGAGUAUUGUCGCUUAGUUUUAUCUAGAAAAAUUAAUGGGAGAAAUUGCGUACAUUGUUCUUAAAAGAGCAUUUUCUUCAUGAUUUUAUUUAACAUUAGGUAUUUGAGAGGAACUCAAAUAAUACUUGAGCACAGGCUGUUCAAUUGUGGAAAUUUUUUGAAUGACAUGAUUUCAGUUAUGCAUAACCAUGUGGACUAACUAUGUUUUCUAUGUGUUUAGCAUAAAUCAUCACUCGAGAUGAGCGAUGGACUAAUUUUGGGAGUAUGAUAACUCUAAAAAAUGUAUAGUUAUCUUAAGCCUUUAUAUAUCCCAGGUUAAGGAUGACAUCAGAAUCAAUUGGGCCACAAAGAUGAUAAGCAUGACCAACUAUGGGGAGCUAAUUUCAAUUAAUCCAUGCAUGUAUGAUGAUAAUUUUUGGCAUCCAAAAUAGAAAGGAAAAGUAGUUCAAAUAAAUUCAACUUGAAUUUAUAAGUAAAAAGUCAUUGGUGAAAAUAAGACAGUCUUGGAGCUUGUUCGUUAAGGCCCUGAUGGUGUAGCGAGUUGAAUUAUGGCACGUAAGCUACUAGAUGAACAUCAAGGAGCAUCUAAAAUGAUGAAUUUGGACUCUAAAAAACAUGGAGAUGCAAUGCACAAAUUAUCAAUGAAAACCAAAACACUAAAGGAAAAAAGAGGGUCAAAAUAUUCACUCGAUGGAAGGAGCUUCACACGCUAAUGAAGGCCCAAAUUUGUACCCCAAUUAGCCCAUUUUUCUAGCAGCCCAAGUCAAUUAUUUAAUAUUGAUUUUAAUAAUUUCAAGCCCCUAAAAUUCUAAAAAAUUCUAUUCAAACCCCUCCACUAUUCAAGUUUACUAUUUUUAGCACUUAGCUAAAAAAUAGUAAAACAAAUCAACCCCUCUUCCACCUUUCAUGUGGCCAGCCAUAGGAGGGAGUAAAAGGGGGGAUUUUAAAUGCUAUUUUUAGUAGCUUAAAGCUACCCUUUAGUAUAAAUAGGCUCCUUCAGCCAUUUAUUUUCAUCAUCCAAUUCACUCUCAUUCUCUCAUUCUCUCCCUCUCUCACGUUCUCUCAUUCUCUUUUUAAGAGAUUUUGUUUCCUUUUCUUCUUCAAGAGAAGUAAGCUUCCUGCAUGUGGGAAAUUGAAGAAAUAAGCUCCUUUCAAGAUAGGUUGUGGCAUCCCAAGGAGGAGAAGGAGGAUAAGCUGUGCACACAACUACAACAACCACCAUGAAACAACUAUGUUUCCUUUUCCUCUUUAAAAUUCUUGUUGUGUUCUUGUUGAUUGAAAAUAUGAUUACUCUGUGUUCUUGUGAUUUCUUAUCAACUACUAUGUCUUGAUAUUUUAUUUUGGAAUUAUUAUGAAACUUUUGUUUAUGUUC